rnacentral:rRNA from 1 species
AGUAGAGUGGCAGACGGGUGAGUAACACGUGGGUAACCUGCCCUCGAGUGGGGAAUAACCCAGGGAAACUUGGGCUAAUACCGCAUGACAUCGCCUCUUCCCUGGAAGGGGUGAUUAAAGGUGGGGAUCGAGAGACCUACCGCUCGAGGAGGGGCCUGCGUCUGAUUAGCUUGUUGGUGGGGUAACGGCCUACCAAGGCGACGAUCAGUAGCCGGCCUGAGAGGGUGAUCGGCCACACUGGAACUGAGACACGGUCCAGACUCCUACGGGAGGCAGCAGUGAGGAAUCUUGCGCAAUGGGCGAAAGCCUGACGCAGCAACGCCGCGUGGGUGAUGAAGGCCUUCGGGUCGUAAAACCCUGUCAGGUGGGAAGAAAUGGUGGCGGGCCAAUACCCCGUCAUCUUGACUGUACCACCAGAGGAAGCCCCGGCUAACUCCGUGCCAGCAGCCGCGGUAAUACGGAGGG